UGGACCUGAAUUAUUUUUGUAUUGAAAUGGUUUAACGUCUUGAUUAAGUUUAUUCAAGAAAAAUCAAGCAAAAUAUUCUAGGAGUAAUUAUUAAGACGAUGCGAGGAGUAGUAGUAAUUAAGGAAUGUACAUUCUGUUCGGCCGACAAAUUAAUUGAGCGGUAGGGUAGUAUACAUCUCUACAAAAAUCCAUAAAAGGAACCCACUCUCCCUCCUUAGUUUUUAUAAAUAAGUCCCUUUGUCUCUCCCUCCUCCGUGAAGAAACCAAAAACAGUCCCACUCUCUCUCCAAAACCUCUCUCAGAUCUGAUCAGAUCAUCAACAGCAGCAUGGUUCUAUCCAAGACUGUGUCGCAGAGCGAUGUCUCCAUCAGCUCGACCUUCGGUUCACGAUAUGUUCGGGCCAGCCUUCCCAGGUACGUACGUACGCAAUUAACAAAUUAAUUAGUAAAGUAGUAGUGAACAAGGCAGGAAAAUAUAUAUGUACAUGUGGUGUGCAGGUUUAAGAUGGGGGAAAAUUCGAUACCAAAAGAAGCGGCAUACCAAAUAAUUAACGAUGAGCUAAUGUUAGACGGGAAUCCGAGGCUGAACUUGGCCUCCUUCGUCACCACAUGGAUGGAACCGGAGUGUGAUAAACUCAUCAUGGCCUCCGUUAACAAAAACUACGUUGACAUGGACGAGUAUCCUGUCACCACCGAGCUACAGGCAAGUCAUAAGUACGAUAUUAGUUAGUAUGAAGUUUACUUUAGUCAGAUAUGUGAUCAAUACGUGUUAGUACUAUAUGAAAGUGGUUAGUAUAAAGUUAAUUUUGGUCAAUUGAUCAAUAUAGAUAUAGUAUUGACAUAUAAGUAAGCGGGAGGUGAUCACUACUUGUUAGAGUACUAUAUAUAUUGAUCGAUUGACCAAUUUAUUAUAAAAUUAAAUUCAUGAUAACCGAAUUUAUUAUUUGAGUUCAUUUCUACUUAAUUCUUUAUUUCAUAAGAUAGGAUAUGAUAAAUAAAGGAAUUCGGUUAGCAUGAAGUUUAUUUUUUAGUAAGUUGGUCAAUUGAUCAGUAAAAUACUGACACACGUAGAGUUUCGCAUGCGUGUUAAUACUCUAUUUGACUAAUUGACAAACAUACUUAAAAAUAAAUUUUAUACUAACUACUGCUUAAAUAAAGUAAGGAGUACAUAAUACGACACAAACACGCUAGCUAUGGGUAAGUUGAUUUCUACUAUUCAACUUAUCAUGAGUCACUGGUAAUUAGACUUGUACUAAGUAUGCGCUUUGUUUUUUCCUCACCCAACAUUAUUCUUAUAGUAUUAUUAUUAGUAGUAGAACACGCGUCACAGGGGUAGGUAGUCCGUGUUGGUAGGAGUCAUCCGGUACUGAAAAUUAGGACUAUAAAUAGUAAUCGAAAAAUUCGUAAUCGUCCGCAUUCGUAUUCGAAUAAAAACGAAUAUUAUUCGCAUUCGAAAAAAACGGAUAUAUCCGUAUUCGGUUUAAAGGUAUCCGUAAAUAAACGGAUACGAAUACGGAUAUAGGCGUAUUCGUAUUCGAUUAACAUCCG
rnacentral:lncRNA from 1 species